GUGAAUCAUCAAAUCUUUGAACGCAAAUUGCACUCUCUGGUAUUCCGGAGAGUAUGCCUGUUGGGGGUCAGGUUAAAUAAAAAUCGGUGUUGUUGGUGCCUUUCGUUGUUACGCACCGGGUUUUGGUCGGCUUUGCUUUGGGUAAGUGACCUAAAAUUUUGCAUUAUUUUUUUGAACGUAUUUUAAUUGUUUUACGUAAGUUUGCGGUUUCGGGGUCUA
rnacentral:misc_RNA from 1 species